AAGGAAUGAGCUAGUGAAUGAGAUAAUGGAUGAAUGAAAUUUUAAAAUGCAAAAGCAAAUUUCACUGUCUUUGCUUUACUAAUACCUAUCAAUGGUGUGAGAUCUCAUGAUUGAAGUUUAGAAAAAGUUAUCAAUGAGAACACUGUACCAGAGGACUCUCACUGGGACUUCUAUGUUGAACACAUUACUUAGCAAAUGCUAACAGCAGAUCCCGAGGAUAUUUACUGAGUGUACAAGUUAACACAUUAAUGCAGCAGAGGCCACUAGAGGAGCAGCUCUCCAGUAACCUUGCCAUUGUGGGCUCUAAAAAAGCUUUUGCCCACCACGGGGCUCUCUAACUUAAAAAAAUAAUAAUUCAAAGCAUAGCA
ensembl:lincRNA Gm29176 predicted gene 29176